rnacentral:rRNA from 1 species
AGAGUUUGAUCCUGGCUCAGGACGAACGCUGGCGGCGUGCUUAACACAUGCAAGUCGAACGGGCACUUCGGUGCUAGUGGCGAACGGGUGAGUAAAGCGCAGGUAAUCUGCCGCAAAGACGGGGACAACGUUCCGAAAGGGGCGCUAAUACCGGAUGUUGUGUAGAGUUCGCAUGAACUUUACACUAAAGAUUUAUCGCUUUGCGAGGAGCCUGCGUCCGAUUAGGUAGUUGGUGGGGUAAGAGCCUACCAAGCCGACGAUCGGUAGCCGGUCUGAGAGGAUGAACGGCCACAAUGGAACUGAGACACGGUCCAUACUCCUACGGGAGGCAGCAGUGGGGAAUAUUCCACAAUGGGGGAAACCCUGAUGGAGCGACGCCGCGUGAGUGAUGAAGGGCUUCGGCUCGUAAAGCUCUUUUCCUGUUGACGAAUUAGCCUUAGGGGCAGUUGACGGUAGAGGGGGAAUAAGCCACGGCUAACUACGUGCCAGCAGCCGCGGUAAUACGUAGGUGGCAAGCGUUGUCCGGAAUUAUUGGGCGUAAAGGGAGCGCAGGCGGGAAUUCAAGUCCAAAUUAAAAGUUCGGGAGUAAUGUCCGUGAAGGUUUGGAAACUGGAUUUCUUGAGAGCAGGAGAGGCAAGCGGAAUUCCCGGUGUAGCGGUGAAAUGCGUAGAUAUCGGGAGGAACACCAGUGGCGAAGGCGGCUUGCUGGACUGUGUCUGACGCUGAGGCUCGAAAGCCGGGGUAGCGAACGGGAUUAGAUACCCCGGUAGUCCCGGCUGUAAACGAUGAGUGCUAGGUGUGGGAGGUAUCGACUCCUCCCGUGCCGGAGUAAACGCAAUAAGCACUCCGCCUGGGGAGUACGGUCGCAAGACUGAAACUCAAAGGAAUUGACGGGGGCCCGCACAAGCGGUGGAGUAUGUGGUUUAAUUCGACGCAACGCGAAGAACCUUACCAAGCCUUGACAUCUGAGGAAUCCGGAUGAAAGU